rnacentral:RNase_P_RNA from 1 species
GAAAUGUGAGGAAAGUCCGAGCACCAUAGGACAGAGUGCCGGCUAACUACCGGUGAAGGCGACUUCAAGGAAAGUGCAACAGAAAUAUACCGCAGAUUUAUCUGUAAGGGUGGAAAGGCGAGGUAAGAGCUCACCGAGGGAAUAGUAAUAUUCCUUGCCCUGUAAACCCCACUCGGUGCAAGUAAGGAGGGUUAAAGUUGUCCGCCACCUCCGCAUACGCUAGAACCUAUUGGUAACAAUAGGUCAAGAAAGAUGAUUGUCAAAUACAGAACUCGGCUUACAGAUCAGCCU